CUGGCGAUGGUGGGCGGGCGCGUGCCACGUCGCCCUCUGGUGGUGGCGACGGUGGCGACCUUCGGCUGGGCGCUGCCGUC
rnacentral:tRNA from 1 species